rnacentral:rRNA from 1 species
UUAGGAAUCUUCCACAAUGGGCGAAAGCCUGAUGGAGCGACACUGCGUGAGGGAUGAAGGCCUUCGGGUCGUAAACCUCUAAAACGGGGACGAACAAUGACGGUACCCGUUGAGAAGCACCGGCUAACUCCGUGCCAGCAGCCGCGGUAAUACGGAGGGUGCAAGCGUUAUCCGGAAUCACUGGGCGUAAAGGGCGCGUAGGCGGUUUGUUAAGUCCGAUGUUAAAGACCGGGGCUCAACCCCGGCACGGCGUUGGAUACUGGCAGGCUUGACGGCUGGAGAGGCGAGUGGAAUUACCAGUGUAGCGGUGGAAUGCGUAGAUACUGGUAGGAACACCUAUGGCGAAGGCAGCUCGCUGGACAGCACGUGACGCUGAGGCGCGAAAGUGUGGGGAGCAAACCGGAUUAGAUACCCGGGUAGUCCACACCCUAAACGAUGCAUACUUGGUGUUGGCCCGUUGGGGUCAGCGCCGGAGCUAACGCGUUAAGUAUGCCGCCUGGGAAGUACGGCCGCAAGGUUG